CCCAGACUCCUACGGGAGGCAGCAGUGGGGGAUAUUGCACAAUGGGGGAAACCCUGAUGCAGCGACGCCGCGUGAGUGAAGAAGUAUUUCGGUAUGUAAAGCUCUAUCAGCAGGGAAGAAGAUGACAGUACCUGAGUAAGAAGCCCCGGCUAACUACGUGCCAGCAGCCGCGGUAAUACGUAGGGGGCAAGCGUUAUCCGGAUUUACUGGGUGUAAAGGGAGCGUAGACGGAUGGAUAAGUCUGAAGUGAAAGCCCGCGGCUCAACUGCGGGACUGCUUUGGAACUGCAUGGCUGGAGUGCGGGAGGGGCAGGCGGAAUUCCUGGUGUAGCGGUGAAAUGCGUAGAUAUCAGGAGGAACACCGGCGGCGAAGGCGGCCUGCUGGACCGCGACUGACGUUGAGGCUCGAAAGCGUGGGGAGCGAACAGGAUUAGAUACCCCCGUAA
rnacentral:rRNA from 1 species